GUUCUUGCAGCUACCAUUUUUUGGUUCUGGGUGCACAAGUCAAAUGAAUUCCAGAUAACUACAGCCUACAGUAUCACACCUGUCUGUUCCUGGAAAUGAGAUCUCACUCCUGGUCUUUGGAUUCCUCCCAUCCCCCAAAUACUAGGACUAUGAACCUAAAAGUUACAAAUAAUCCACAUUUAUCUGACUUGAAAAAAUGGAGAGAAAUACACACCAAAAAACGAGGAGGUAGGAAUUCAUAAUGCAAUUCGCAAAGCUUUCUGCCCU
rnacentral:lncRNA from 1 species